ACGGAAGGCAGCAGUGGGGAAUAUUGCACAAUGGGGGAAACCCUGAUGCAGCGACGCCGCGUGAGCGAUGAAGUAUUUCGGUAUGUAAAGCUCUAUCAGCAGGGAAGAUAAUGACAGUACCUGACUAAGAAGCCCCGGCUAACUACGUGCCAGCAGCCGCGGUAAUACGUAGGGGCAAGCGUUAUCCGGAUUUACUGGGUGUAAAGGGAGCGCAGGCGGUUUUUUGAGUCUGAUGUGAAAGCCCGCGGCUCAACUGCGGGACUGCAUUGGAAACUGGAGAACUAGAGUGUCGGAGGGGCAAGUGGAAUUCCUAGUGUAGCGGUGAAAUGCGUAGAUAUUAGGAGGAACACCAGUGGCGAAGGCGGCUUGCUGGACGAUAACUGACGCUGAGGCUCGAAAGCGCGGGGAGCAAACAGGAUUAGAUACCUGGUA
rnacentral:rRNA from 1 species